UACGUAGGGUGCAAGCGUUAAUCGGAAUUACUGGGCGUAAAGGGCGCGUAGGCGGGAUGGCAAGUCAGUCGUGAAAUCUCUCGGCUCAACCGAGAAACGUCGGCUGAUACUGCCGUUCUUGAGGGAUGCAGAGGAGACUGGAAUUCCCGGUGUAGCGGUGAAAUGUGUAGAGAUCGGGAGGAACACCGGUGGCGAAGGCGGGUCUCUGGGCAUCUCCUGACGCUGAGGCGCGAAAAGCGUGGGAGCAACGGG
rnacentral:rRNA from 1 species